UGGGGAAUAUUGCACAAUGGGCGCAAGCCUGAUGCAGCCAUGCCGCGUGUAUGAAGAAGGCCUUCGGGUUGUAAAGUACUUUCAGUCGGGAGGAAGGUGGUAAGGUUAAUAACCUUAUCAAUUGACGUUACCGACAGAAGAAGCACCGGCUAACUCCGUGCCAGCAGCCGCGGUAAUACGGAGGGUGCAAGCGUUAAUCGGAAUUACUGGGCGUAAAGCGCACGCAGGCGGUUGAUUGAGUCAGAUGUGAAAUCCCCGGGCUUAACCCGGGAAUUGCAUCUGAUACUGGUCAGCUAGAGUCUUGUAGAGGGGGGUAGAAUUCCAUGUGUAGUGGUGAAAUGCGUAGAGAUGUGGAGGAAUACCGGUGGCGAAGGCGGCCCCCUGGACAAAGACUGACGCUCAGGUGCGAAAGCGUGGGGAGCAAACAGG
rnacentral:rRNA from 1 species